UUUUGGCUUAGGGUGCAGAUAGAUGCCAUGACACCUGUCCUUCAGUCUGCAAGAAUUUAUUUACAUCUUUAUUUUGCCAAAAGACAAUGGGAGAAAUGAAUUCUACCAAAAUUAGCAGAUUUGUUUUAUGUUGUAGCUUGAGAGCAGCAGUCCACUCAUUCCUCUGGGCAGCCAGGCACACAGAGGAACCAGGAGACUUCAGCAAUAACUAGAAAAUGAUGUUUUCCUGGGAUUCUUUCACUUUCAUGUUUUCUCCUACUUGUACGUUUAAGAAAAUCCUGGAAAAUCUGCCAGCAGCUGGAGCUACGCUGACGUAUACAUGUUCUGGAGAUGGAAAGGAAACACACCUGCUGGCAACUAGGGACAACACCUGAUUGUUUCAAAUUCCUCUUUGCAAAGAGUGACCACUUCUUUCCACUUCUGAGAAACCACCUCUUGGAUAAGCACAAUGUACUACUGUACGCGCCUUCAAAAUGCUCAGUGCUUAAAUUUAAGCAUGUGAAUAUUCCCACUCAAAUACUGAAAUGUGUACAAUUAACGCCACUUAAUUUUUAAGAUUUAUUUUCUCCUUCAUCUUUUUGUAGCUAAAUUCUCCUCCUCUGUGACCCACAUAACAAGCUUUGAAAAAGCCCCUGGAAGCACUUCCAGGCUAAGAAGUCUCAGGAAUAUUCAUAUGUGUUUCUAGCUUUGUGCCUCCAGUAAACAUUCUUACAAAUAAAAUCUUGUUCACCUGAUUCUUGAGGGGUGAAAAGGGGUCAAGAAACUGGAAAGCUACUGUUUCCCACUUUUUUCUUUUUUCUCCUUGCUCUCUCAAAUCAAUUCUUCUCAAUUAUUCUUUUCUAUUUUUACCUGUUUUUUUUUCAAGAUGUAUUCCUUAAC